AUUGAACGCUGGCGGCAUGCCUUACACAUGCAAGUCGAACGGCAGCGGGGGUAGCUUGCUACCUGCCGGCGAGUGGCGAACGGGUGAGUAAUACAUCGGAACGUGCCCUGUAGUGGGGGAUAACUAGUCGAAAGACUAGCUAAUACCGCAUACGACCUGAGGGUGAAAGUGGGGGACCGCAAGGCCUCAUGCUAUAGGAGCGGCCGAUGUCUGAUUAGCUAGUUGGUGGGGUAAAGGCCCACCAAGGCGACGAUCAGUAGCUGGUCUGAGAGGACGAUCAGCCACACUGGGACUGAGACACGGCCCAGACUCCUACGGGAGGCAGCAGUGGGGAAUUUUGGACAAUGGGGGCAACCCUGAUCCAGCAAUGCCGCGUGUGUGAAGAAGGCCUUCGGGUUGUAAAGCACUUUUGUCCGGAAAGAAAUCGCUUCGGUUAAUACCUGGAGUGGAUGACGGUACCGGAAGAAUAAGGACCGGCUAACUACGUGCCAGCAGCCGCGGUAAUACGUAGGGUCCAAGCGUUAAUCGGAAUUACUGGGCGUAAAGCGUGCGCAGGCGGUUGUGCAAGACCGAUGUGAAAUCCCCGGGCUUAACCUGGGAAUUGCAUUGGUGACUGCACAGCUAGAGUGUGUCAGAGGGAGGUAGAAUUCCACGUGUAGCAGUGAAAUGCGUAGAGAUGUGGAGGAAUACCGAUGGCGAAGGCAGCCUCCUGGGAUAACACUGACGCUCAUGCACGAAAGCGUGGGGAGCAAACAGG
rnacentral:rRNA from 1 species